rnacentral:rRNA from 1 species
CCCCGUGCGUAUAGCGCUGUGGAACCACCCGAUUCCAUUCCGAACUCGGUCGUGAAACGCAGUUGCGUCGAUGGUACUUGGUGAGUGAUCGCCCGGGAGAGUAGAGCAGCGCGGGGG